UACGUAGGGUGCAAGCGUUGUCCGGAAUUAUUGGGCGUAAAGAGCUUGUAGGCGGUUUGUCGCGUCUGCUGUGAAAAUCCGGGGCUCAACCCCGGACUUGCAGUGGGUACGGGCAGGCUAGAGUGUGGUGGGGGAGACUGGAAUUCCUGGUGUAGCGGUGGAAUGCGCAGAUAUCAGGAGGAACACCGAUGGCGAAGGCAGGUCUCUGGGCCACUACUGACGCUGAGAAGCGAAAGCAUGGGGAGCGAACAGG
rnacentral:rRNA from 1 species